rnacentral:rRNA from 1 species
ACUCAAUAGAUACCCGGGUAGUCUAUACAGAAAACGAUGAGUGUUACUUGUUAAAAAAUAUAAUUUUUGGUGAGUUAGCUAAACGCGUUAAAACACUCCGCCUGGGAAGUACGACCGCAAGGUUGAAACUUAAAGGAAAUGGCGGGGGCUUUUACAAGCGGUGGAGCGUGUGGUUCAAUAUGAUGUCCCGCAAAAACCUUACCAGCUAAUUACAGCUAUAGAGAACUAGUUGAAAGCUUAGUUGGAGUAGUUGUGUGUUGCAUGGCUGUUAUCAGUUCGUGCCGUGAGGUGUCUGGUUAAAUUCCAGUCGGUAACAACGAACGAAACCCCCGCUUAUGGUUAUUUAAUAGAUUUUUUAUUUACUUAUGCUCCAUAGGACAGCUUACGAUAAGUCUGAUGAAGGAGGGGAGUGAUAUCAAGCGUUAUGACCUUAUCUGACUGGGCUACAAACGCGCUACAUAGGGAAUCACAGUUGGCUGCAAUAGCGUGAGCUGGAGCUAAUCCAUAAAAGUUCUCAAAGUUCAGAUUGCUUUCUGCAAUUCG